rnacentral:rRNA from 1 species
CCCAAAAAACGACAGUCUCAGUUCGGAUUGAAGGCUGAAAUUCGCCUUCAUGAAGCCGGAAUUGCUAGUAAUGGCAGGUCAGCAUACUGCCGUGAAUACGUUCCCGGGCCUUGUACACACCGCCCGUCACACCAUGAGAGUUGGGGAUACCCGAAGCCUGUGAGCUAACAGUAAUGAAGCAGCAGUCGAAGGUAGAAUCAAUGAUUGGGGUGAAGUCGUAACAAGGUAGC